rnacentral:rRNA from 1 species
AUACGGAGGACGCGAGCGUUAUCCGGAUUCAUUGGGUUUAAAGGGUGCGCAGGCGGCCGUGCAAGUCAGCGGUGAAAGCCCGGGGCUCAACCCCGGAAGUGCCGUUGAUACUGCAUGGCUGGAAUGCGGUCGAGGCGGGCGGAACGGGGCGUGUAGCGGGGGAAUGCGUAGAUAUGCCACAGAACGCCGAUAGCGGAGGCAGCGCGCCAGGCCUGCAUUGACGCUCGGGCACGAAAGGGUGGGGAUCGAACAGGAUUAGAUACCCUGGUAGUCCACGCCGUAAACGAUGGGCGCUCGUCGUCGGCGACAGACAGUCGGCGGCCAAGCGAAAGCGAUAAGCGCCCCACCUGGGGAGUACGGUCGCAAGGCUGAAACUCAAAUGAAUUGACGGGG